rnacentral:rRNA from 1 species
UACGUAGGGUGCAAGCGUUAUCCGGAAUUAUUGGGCGUAAAGAGCUCGUAGGCGGUUUGUCGCGUCUGCUGUGAAAACUGGAGGCUCAACCUCCAGCCUGCAGUGGGUACGGGCAAACUAGAGUGCGGUAGGGGAGAUUGGAAUUCCUGGUGUAGCGGUGGAAUGCGCAGAUAUCAGGAGGAACACCGAUGGCGAAGGCGGCAUCCUGGACCGACACUGACACUGAGGAGCGAAAGCCAGGGGAGCAAACGGG